UACGAAGGGGGCUAGCGUUGCUCGGAAUUACUGGGCGUAAAGGGCGCGUAGGCGGAUAGUUUAGUCAGAGGUGAAAGCCCAGGGCUCAACCUUGGAAUUGCCUUUGAUACUGGCUAUCUUGAGUUCGGGAGAGGUGAGUGGAAUGCCGAGUGUAGAGGUGAAAUUCGUAGAUAUUCGGCGGAACACCAGUGGCGAAGGCGGCCCACUGGGCAGUCACUGACGCUGAGGCGCGAAAGCUCGGGGAGCGAACGGG
rnacentral:rRNA from 1 species